rnacentral:rRNA from 1 species
CCUACGCGAGGCAGCAGUGGGGAAUAUUGCACAAUGGGGGAAACCCUGAUGCAGCGACGCCGCGUGAGUGAAGAAGUAAUUCGUUAUGUAAAGCUCUAUCAGCAGGGAAGAAAAUGACGGUACCUGAGUAAGAAGCCCCGGCUAACUACGUGCCAGCAGCCGCGGUAAUACGUAGGGGGCAAGCGUUAUCCGGAUUUACUGGGUGUAAAGGGAGCGUAGACGGCAGUGCAAGUCUGGAGUGAAAGGCGGGGGCUCAACCCCCGGACUGCUCUGGAAACUGUACGGCUGGAGUGCAGGAGAGGUAAGUGGAAUUCCUGGUGUAGCGGUGAAAUGCGUAGAUAUUAGGAGGAACACCAGUGGCGAAGGCGGCUUACUGGACUGCGACUGACGUUGAGGCUCGAAAGCGUGGGGAGCGAACAGGAUUAGAUACCCCAGUAGUC